rnacentral:lncRNA from 1 species
GAAGCCCUCCCUGCUCCACAGGCCGUUCACCGCGGAGAUCUACCGGCAGAAGGCCUCCAGGUCUCACCGGAGGAGCUGACGGGUCCCCAGCGGCUCUGCCAAGGGCCUGCCCACUGCGAGGACGCAGCCUGCUCUGGGAGAGUGGUGCUGGGCCACUGCUCCUGCUGUGCCCAGCGUGGGCUGCUCCAGUGCCUUGGAAACCACUGCCUCGGGGGCCCUGGACAUGCUGCCGUGUGGCCACUGAGCCCCCCGCCCCUCCGUCCCCUCUGUGCCCACACUCGCCAAUAAAGACCCCCUGA